rnacentral:lncRNA from 1 species
UGAGCAUCCGGUGAUGAGCAAUUGAAAACAACACACAAAUGCAAAUUCCAAAUUUGAACCACAACCUUCAGUGAUCAAACACUAUGGAAUUCAAAUCAUAAGCAAAUACAAAGAGGAUGGGUCAGCAAGAUGUUUCAAAGAAUGUCUUUUCCCAUGAGCUAUGGAGAUUUUUUUAUGAGCACCUCAUUAUGAAGAAGCAUAAGUUGCAACUUCCUACUGAUUAUUAGAGAAGGGCAGGGAAGGGCAGAGCUGUUCUUCUCUGUUCAAUGAUCCAAGCAACCAGAGCAAUAUCCAUUGUAGGCAAAUUCAAGGUAGCGCUCAAACACCUGUGGAGAACCUGGCUGGGACAGUGUCUCUGCACCACUUCCAGUACUGGCCUGGGAUAAAUCAUGGACAGUCUGACCCUGAAAAGAGUAAAGAGAUGGGCACGGAGAAAUGAAGUUAGCAGGGUAAAGGAGUGACAGCUGAGAAAAAACAGAAUCUGAAACGUAGAGGAAUCCAGCUAUCCUAAACUCCCACCAUCCAUUGCCACCAUACUUCAUACCAAAUUGCAUUGGGUUUGUUAAACUGGUUAGAUACAGUACAAUGUAUGUUCAUUGUUAUCAGAACAAACUUACAUGAAUUUCCCUACACACCAACUAUCUACUUUUAAGACACUACUGGCAUCAUACCGUUGAAAAUAUAUGGGGAGCACUAACAUGUUGGACCUACCUUAUCUACCUGGAAAAAAUGACCCUCCUUCCAGGAAUAUGAAUGGUCUGAAAUGGCACCUGGUUUUAGAAACCUGCAAUAUCAUUCACUGAUAGUUUCACAAACAAAGAACACAAAUGCAUGAUGUCGUACAAAAUUAAAUAUGAGCUAUUGUAUCAGUUUUAGGCACAUGAGUAGAGAUUGAAA